rnacentral:misc_RNA from 1 species
GAUGAAGAACGUAGCGAAAUGCGAUAAGUAAUGUGAAUUGCAGAAUUCAGUGAAUCAUCGAAUCUUUGAACGCACAUUGCGCCCAUUAGUAUUCUAGUGGGCAUGCCUGUUCGAGCGUCAUUAAUUCCACUUAAGCCCUGCUUAGUGUUGGGAAUCUACUCUUGUGGUGCUACCCUGGAGCUACCCCUGAAAGGGGGCUGGCCCGGUAGCUACCCUGUAGUUCCUCAAAGAUAGUGCGCGGAGUUGCGUGGUCCUCUGAGCUUAGUAACUAUACACCUAGCUUUUGAGUGUCCCGCGGCGCCUGCCGUUUAAACCCCAUCUUUUAAUGGUUGACCUCGGAUCAGGUAGGAAUACCCGCUGAACUUAAGCAUAUCAAUAAGCGGAGGA